rnacentral:tRNA from 1 species
GCUUUCGUGGUGUAGUGGUCAGCACGCUCGACGCGUAACCGAGAGGUCCGUGGUUCGAUUCCCGGCGAAGCCG